rnacentral:rRNA from 1 species
ACUGCGGGCGUGCGGUUGAUACGGGUGGGCUAGAGUUCGGUAGGGGAGACUGGAAUUCCUGGUGUAGCGGUGAAAUGCGCAGAUAUCAGGAGGAACACCGGUGGCGAAGGCGGGUCUCUGGGCCGAUACUGACGCUGAGGAGCGAAAGCGUGGGGAGCGAACAGGAUUAGAUACCCUGGUAGUCCACGCCGUAAACGUUGGGCGCUAGGUGUGGGGCUCAUUCCACGAGUUCCGUGCCGCAGCUAACGCAUUAAGCGCCCCGCCUGGGGAGUACGGCCGCAAGGCUAAAACUCAAAGGAAUUGACGGGGGCCCGCACAAGCGGCGGAGCAUGCGGAUUAAUUCGAUGCAACGCGAAGAACCUUACCAGGGCUUGACAUAUACCGGAAACACCCAGAGAUGGGUGCCCCGCAAGGCCGGUAUACAGGUGGUGCAUGGUUGUCGUCAGCUCGUGUCGUGAGAUGUUGGGUUAAGUCCCGCAACGAGCGCAACCCUCGUCCUA